UGGAACUGAAUUGCUCAGGGAAGGGAAGAAGAUUUUACACUACAGGGUUUAUGUGGAAAUCCCCUUCCUGGUAGUCAGCCCAGGUGUCCAACCUGUUUGUUAACCAUUUCCAAAUGACUCAAAGGACAUAGAGGAAGUGCUUGAACACAUUCCAGCACUAUUUCUACAGUUUAGUCUAUUUACAUUGGAAACUACGUUCCAGAAUUCUUAAGGGGAAUGCUCUGGCCUACUCUGGGCAUCUUAGGAUCCUGGAGCUACCUAUCUAAGCUAACCUUCACAGUCCACUCACUGCUUUUGAAUGUUCCCAACUUCCUUUGAUGGCCUCCCCUCCAAAGCACUCUGAAGAACAUGCAAUGAGGACUUUGAGGACACUUUUCCCUCCCCCCACCUAAUCCCAAACGUGGCAUUUCCUUUUGUUGCCUUUUGGGGACAGAACUAGCAGCUUCUUUCUUCUGGCCUCUUAAACCCAUCCGGGCAGCAUUACUUAAUUCUGUUCUAGUCUGUUUUCAGUGAGGUGGGGGAGGGGAAGAAUUCUUUGCAGGGAGUGAAGCAGUUAAGGGAUUUCAGAAAAGGGAUGGUCUGCCUUUUCCUGAAGGUGGGGAACGGCUGUUAGAUCACUGUUGCCUGCCUUUGACUCCUCACUAUGUGGUAUUGGACAAACAGAGCAGCUCAGGUUCACUCCUCUUGGCAGCAGCAUGAAGCCUGGCUCACCAUGUCCCCUGAGAAUCAUGUUUUUCUCAACUUCUUUUCAUUAGUUAAAAAGAUUAAGUCUAAGAAUAAAGAGCAGAGAUCUUCUGCCUGGCUUUUUCUGGGGAGGUGGGUUGGCUGGGAUUGGGGCUCAAAUCCAGGGUCUGGGGCAGCCUAGACAGGAGCUCUAACCACUUGGCUGCACUCCCGACCCUACCUUUCACUCUUUAGUGCUCCUCAUAGUCACUUGUGGGUAAAGACUGCCAAACCUCACAGCAGCCACUUUCCUAACCUCACAUUGUUUCUUCACCCUCUUAAAGCCUCUUUAGACACCUCUGCUCCACUCCAACCAUUGCACCAGCCUCAUCCUGCUCCUAUGUCCCCUCCCUGG
rnacentral:lncRNA from 1 species